rnacentral:lncRNA from 1 species
GGUAGGACGAUCAAUUAUUUUUGCUUCUAUUCUAUAAUGCGUUAUUAAUUGCUAGGGGAGGCUAGGGAUAGCAAGCCAGUAAUUAGUAAUAGGCUCUUUUUGCCGAGGGAUCGGGUUAAGGGUAGACUAAGAAAGUUGCAUAACAAUUAGAUAAUCAAGCAAAUAAAACAAGAGGAGUAAAUAAGAGAGAGUGGUUGGGUGAAAUCUGAAUCCUAGCAACAAAUCCAUCUCAUUUUAUCGACAUCAUCCAUCCACUUUUG